rnacentral:rRNA from 1 species
UACGGGGGGGCAAGCGUUGUUCGGAAUUACUGGGCGUAAAGGGCGCGUAGGCGGCCUUCUAAGUCGGACGUGAAAUCCCUCGGCUCAACCGAGGAACUGCGCUCUAAACUACCGUGCUCGAGGGAGAUAGAGGUGAGCGGAACUGAGGGUGGAGCGGUGAAAUGCGUUGAUAUCCUCAGGAACACCGGUGGCGAAAGCGGCUCACUGGAUCUCUUCUGACGCUGAGGCACGAAAGCUAGGGUAGCGAACGGG